CUGCUAGAGGUGUUGUGUUUGCUGGCCCUGGAAGAAAUGAGGCCAGAAGAGAGAAGAGUUCUAAUCUAAUCUCAGUUCUACACACACCAUCUUUUCAUUCUGGAUGCUCAACCUAUUCAGCUAUCUCUAACUAAGUUAGGGUUCAGCUGAUCAUAAUUGAGUUGGAUAGGAUUUUUCUCCCAACUUCCAAUUUAUUUUUCUUUUUGCCUCCCUUUCCUCCACUGAAGCUGAGGGACCUUGUAAAAGUGGGAUGGGGCAUAGUUUUAAGUAGAGGUCACUUUACAGGUAGGUGGUGAUGAACUUUAGUGAGCACCAGCAGGUAUCAUUUGUUGAUGGGUGGGUUGUCUAGAAUUUCAUCUUUAGGUCAUGGGACAGGGGUGGUAGUGAAAAAGAUUUCCCCUGGGUAGGGGCAGAGAAACACCUUCCUUUUAAGGCAUGUGUUUUGAACAUGUGGGUUGCUUGGGAAACUUUUUGGGCAUAUGGAAAGUCAUUACAUUUGAGUUACUGCCAAGGCUCAAGUGCCUCACUCAGCUGAGUUUGAGGCCAGAGCCAGAUGAAUAUUCCAUGCCUCAAUUAAUUCAAUAAUUAUUUCUCCCUCUUGUGGUUCACUAUUUUUUAAAUAAACCAAAAUAUUCAAUAAAAACACAAAAUCAAGCAGGCAUUUUAGAUAUACAGAACUACUAAAACUACACAAAUACAUUCUGUACAAUUAACCUUCAACUUAACAAUCUUGUUUAAAAAAUUGCAAACUUCCCACUCUCUGUCUGAUACUUGCUGUUUUUCAUUAGUCUAUUCCCUUUGAACAAUCAUGUAAUCACAUCUUUUUUGAGAAAACAUUUGACUAAUUCAUGGAUCCCUCAUUUGGUAAAUGCAACCCCCCUUCUAUUGCUCUUGUGAAAAGUGAUGUGCAGGCCCCAAUCAUUAUUAAUAUUAGUCAAAUAUUUUUCCUUAAUUAUCAUAGUCAAUUUGUCAUUUUUUGUUAUUUCAUAGAUCUUCAUCAGACAUUUUCUUGGAUUGGAAUAGCUGGUUCCUGACAAUUAUGCUGAAAAAUAAAAUACAGCCAAGAUUAAAUGCCUGCUUUACAGAGAGCUAUGCUGACAUGGCCAAAGAUGUUCCAGUCCAUUCAGUGGAUCUUCCAAUAUGAUUAUUACACCAUCUGAAAAUUUCUUCCAAAAUUAUUUUGUUUUUAACAGCAAUGUUCAAUUUUACAUUGGUGAGGGCCUUCUCAACAUGCAAGAAUAUCAAAGCACCUUUAAUUUAAUUGUAAUAAUUCAAGUAUUCUAACACAUCUGUAACUAUUCUGAUAUUAUCCCAUACCUGUGCCUUUGGCAGAAAAUACUUUUGAUUCUCGUGUAUACAGUAUAUUCUUGAAAGUAUAUCUUUAAUCCAUUUGUUGGUAUGAAUGUGAAAAUCUUAUAAUCCUCAUUCAUAAUGACAUGUAUCUGUAAUUUUUGAAAAUCAUAAGAUUUCAAUAUUUUUGAUAUGAUUGUAAUAUUUCUAGGAAGUUAUGGUUUUGGAGAAUAUCAGUCUUGAGAGAUUUGUAAUAACCAUUCUUGAAAAAUUGUGUCAAUUGUGCAUUUUUUCAAUAAAAUCACAAGAGUUACUGCUUUAUUGCAUGAUUUUUUAAAAAAUCCAGUAGCACCCCAUUGAUAUUGUAAUGUCUUUGUGAUUACUUAACCAAUCCUUUUGUGCCU